UCUGCGUCGGGUUCCGUUGGAGUGCGUUCGGUGCGCCGUGGGUCCGCGCUGCUUCCACACAACUUCCUGUUAGAGUUUCUCUCCUGUCACAAUGGCAUGAUCUCGGCUCACUGCGACCUCUGCUUCCUGGGUUCAAGGAUUCUCCUGCCUCAGCCUCCCAAGUAGCUGGGAUUACAGGUGCGUGCCAAUAUACCCGGCUAAUUUUUUUGUAUUUUUGGUAGAGACUGGGCUUCACCAUGUUGGUCAGGCUGGUCUGGAACUCCUGGCCUCAAGUGAUCUGCCUGCCUCGGCUUCCCAAAGUGCUGGGAUAACAGGCAUGAGCCACCCGGCGCCCGGGCUUAAUGUUUGUUUAUAUAGGUUAUUAAGAAUCAGUUUGUGACAGGCUAUUAGUAUUGUUACUUCUCUUUGUUACUGUCGAUUUUAACAACAAUUUAUGUGUGUACUAUUACCUUUAAAGUAAAACUUAUUUUUAAACUAAGAAUGCUUUUCGUUCUUAAAGUUCUGGGACAUUUAAAUAAGUUUCGUGUCUUUAUUAACUUGUUCCCACAAUCAUAAAUAUUUUAUAACCAAAAGUGCUCAACCCCCUAAAUAUAUAAUCCAACAAAUUUAACGUGUGUGUGUGUGUGAGAGAGACAGAGAGAGAGAGAGAGAGAGAGGGUCUCACUCUUUCGCCCAGGCUGGAGUGCAGUGGUGCGAUCAUGGCUGGCUCAUUGCAGCCUCAAACUUCUGGACUCAAGCAAUCCUCCCACUUCAGCCUCCUGGGUAGCUGGGACUACAGGUACGUGCAAGCAUGCCAUCUAAUUUUUUUUUUUUUUUUUUUUUUGUAGACAUAAGGGUCUUGCUAUUUGUCUCCUGAGAGCUCUCCAUGCUCUCAAUGUGAAGAAUCUGCAAAAGCAAACACCUGGGGCUGAAAAAUAAAAUAGAAAAAAUUUUAUUUCUCAGCCUCCGUAAGAUUGUAUGUCCAAACAAAAGAAAAUCUUAAAAAUCUCCAAAAAUAUUGGUGAGAAAAAAGCUUUGGCCCUCAUAUGAAGAAGAUAAAAACUUGUUCCAUUUUCCAGAUACACAGUUAUAAUACAAAUAUAAAAUGGGGCAAAGACAAAAACCAAGUCUCCUAUAUAAACUAGUGAAUUUUGUAUUAUUGUAAUAACAUUAGUCAGGGUUCUCCAGAAAGGCAGAAUCAAUAGGAUAUAUGUAGAUAGAUAGAUGAGAGAAGACUCAUUAGGGGAAUUGGUUCACAUAAUUAUGGAGGCUGAGAAGUUACACAAUAGCCUGUCUCCAAGUUGGAGAACCAGGAAAGUUGGCAGCAUGGCUCACUCCAGAUAUAAAGGACUCAGAAUCAGGGAAGCCAAUGGUGUAACUCUGAUUCUGAGGCCAAAGCUCUGAGACCCUGACGUUCUGAUGUCAAGGGCAGGAGAAGAAGGAUGUUUCCAUUUCAGAAGGAGAUAAUUCACCUUUCCUCUUCCUUGUUGUUCUAUCUGGGCUCUCAACCAAUUGGAUGGUGCCUGUAUUCAUCCAUUUUUAUACAGCGAUGAAGAAAUACCUGAGUCUGAGCAAUUUAUAAAGAACAAAGAGGUUUAAUGGGCUGACAGUUCCACAUGGCUGCAGGGGCCUCACGAUCAUGGCAGAAGCGGAAGCAAAGAUGUCCUUCUUCACAUGGCAGCAACAAGAAGAAGUGCUGAGCCAAAGGGGAAAAGCCCCUUAUAAAACCAUCGGAUCAUGAGAACUCACUCACUGCCAUGAGAACAGAAUGGCAGUAACCACCACCAUGAUUCAAUCACCUCCCACCGGGUCCCUCCCAUGACAUGUAGGGAUUAUAGGAACUACAAUUCAAGAUGAGAUCUGGGUGGGGACACAGGCAAACCCCAUCAGUUCCCAUCCACACUAGGUCGGGGUUAUCUCAGUGUCUUCCAGAAACACCCUCACAGAUAUGCCCAGAAAUUGUGUUUGACCAGCUGUGUGUGUCCCUUAAUCCAGUCCAGUAGAUGUCUAGAAUUAACCAUCGGAAUAUUUAUGCCUGAUUCAUGGCUGAAAUCGUGUUUGACCAGCUAUGUGUGUCUCUUAAUUCAGUCAAGUAGAUGUCCAAUAUUAACCAUCAGAAUAUUUAUGCCUGAUUCAUGGCUGAAAUUUCAGGAUGAAAGCUAUGAAAUCUCUAUUUGUGUUUGUAUAUCUAUUAAUGUAUGUUAUGUACAUGUGAUAUUUUCUUAACUCCGGAUACCACUGCAAAAUUCAUUUAUAAAAUCCUCUAAAAGUGCUCUAUUCCAACUUGGCUUGGAAAAAAAUAACCAUUUAUAAAUAAAUAUUCACCAAACUCCUAGAAACAUAGUAACUGAUCAAAUGUCUCUUAAGUUACCAUGAUUUGGAUAAAACUUAGUUAAAUGAGAUUAAUAUAAUAUUUUUGGUGUAAUAAAACAACUAUGUCUUCAAAGUUAUCACUAUUGAAUAUAAAACAAACAUAAAUUCCUAUUCUGCUUGAGUUCUAGUCAAAUAAGCUAAUAUUAUACUUACAGAAAUGUAAAAUCUUAAAGCUUAUAGAUUUGGUUCUAAUUAAGUUGUCAUUCUUAUGAAAAACAUUAUUUUUUAUGGUGAAAAGAUACACAUAUAUUUAGAGUUAGCCAGCUGGGGUCAGUUUAGAUGAUCCCAAUUUUGUUGCAACAUCCAAAGCUUCAUAAUCAGGAGCCAGUUGAACAUAUGCCUUCUUCUCUUUAUCAGGACAAAUCAGGGUGGUGACCUUGGCCACAUCACUGUCAUAGAGCUUCUUCACGGUCUGUUUGAUAUGGUGCUUGUUGGCUUUAACAUCCACAAAGAACACAAGCAUGUUGUUUUCUUGUAUCUUCUUCCAGCCGACUCAGUGGUCAGUGGAAACUUGAUAGCAUAGUGGUCAAGCUUGUUUCUCCUGGGGGUGCUCUUCCGAGGAUAUUUGGGCUGCCUCCGGAGUCGCAGUGUCUUGGGCCACCUGAAGGUGAGUGAUAUGCAGAUCUUCUUUUUUGCGUGUGGCUGUGGACACCUUUCAACACUGCCUUCUUGGCCUUUAAAGCCUUCACUUUGGCUUCGGCUGUAGGAGGAGCAGG
rnacentral:lncRNA from 1 species